GAUGAACGCUGGCGGCGUGCCUAAUACAUGCAAGUCGAGCGAACGGACGAGAAGCUUGCUUCUCUGAUGUUAGCGGCGGACGGGUGAGUAACACGUGGAUAACCUACCUAUAAGACUGGGAUAACUUCGGGAAACCGGAGCUAAUACCGGGUGAUAUUUUGAACCGCAUGGUUCAAAAGUGAAAGACGGUCUUGCUGUCACUUAUAGAUGGAUCCGCGCUGCAUUAGCUAGUUGGUAAGGUAACGGCUUACCAAGGCAACGAUGCAUAGCCGACCUGAGAGGGUGAUCGGCAACACUGGAACUGAGAACCGGUCCAGACUCCUACGGGAGGCAGCAGUAGGGAAUCUUCCGCAAUGGGCGAAAGCCUGACGGAGCAACGCCGCGUGAGUGAUGAAGGUCUUCGGAUCGUAAAACUCUGUUAUUAGGGAAGAACAUAUGUGUAAGUAACUGUGCACAUCUUGACGGUACCUAAUCAGAAAGCCACGGCUAACUACGUG
rnacentral:rRNA from 1 species